rnacentral:rRNA from 1 species
AUACGUAGGUGGCGAGCGUUGUCCGGAUUUAUUGGGUUUAAAGGGUGCGUAGGCUGUGCGUUAAGUCAGGGGUGAAAUGCCGUCGCUCAACGACGGAGCUGCCCUUGAUACUGGCGUGCUGGAGUACGGAUGCCGUUGGAGGAAUGAGUGGUGUAGCGGGGAAAUGCUUAGAUAUCACUCAGAACACCGAUUGCGAAGGCAUCUGACGAAUCCGUCACUGACGCUGAGGCACGAAAGCGUGGGGAUAGAACAGGAUUAGAUACCCUGGUAUUCCACGCCGUAAACGAUGAUGACUAACCGUCGGCGAUAGACAGCCGGUGGCCAAGCGAAAGCGAUAAGUCAUCCACCUGGGGAGUACGUCGGCAACGAUGAAACUCAAAUGAAUUGACGGGG